rnacentral:misc_RNA from 1 species
CUCCAUGCUUCGAUUCUGAUUCGAUGAACACACCAUGGCAUAGCGAAAUUUCAUGCUUUAGAACAAAAAAGAUGUGGAUGUGUCAAAGCUCGAAUAUAUUAAUGCAACAGUUCAACUCAAAAGGAAAUAUAACAACCAAUUCUUCUGCAAGUUCAUAAAAAUUUUAAAAAUAAGAGAAGAAAACCUAAUUGGAUGAAUAACUUCUAAUGAAGCCCAAGCUCUCAGUAUUUGCCUCAAAGCCCAAUACUUUAACGGAAAAAAAUAUUGGGGAAACCAAAAACAGCAAGACCAAAAAAGAAAAAGGAAAACACAGAGUUUACCUCACUGAAGGAGAAGGCGUAACUUUCUUGGGCAAAAGAAGCAAAAGGUACAGCAGAAAGAGUGAAUUUUUAAUAUCAAAAAUGGCAAUGACUCAUACCCUCCAGAAUUAAGGUUGUAGUAAUCAGGUCCCUUUGAGACUGCCUUGACCACUUGGCUAAAAUAGAUUCAGAUUUGUCAUUACGGUUAUAAGAGAUCUCAUCUCACCAUGAAAGCUUAGGGUGGAGAGUGAUAAGAGUUUAUACUAUUUGAAAGCGAGUGGCUCUGACCCGAAACCUUCAGAGGCAGCUGAAUUUUUUGGCAAGAGAAAUGGAGUUUCUGUAAACUAAAAAGGAGAUAGAGAUAGUGGAAAGGGUGUGGAGCGGCUGUGUAAGGGAGAGGGCUAGAGGUGGUGGCAAAUGGGUUCUGUAACUGGCGGCGGGUGGCGGUGACCUUGGUGGCUGGAAGUUGAAGUAAUGUGCUCGCGCUCAGCUUGGGCCAACGGAGGAA